rnacentral:rRNA from 1 species
GAUGAACGCUGGCGGCGUGCCUAAUACAUGCAAGUCGAGCGAACAGACGAGGAGCUUGCUCCUCUGACGUUAGCGGCGGACGGGUGAGUAACACGUGGAUAACCUACCUAUAAGACUGGGAUAACUUCGUGAAACCGGAGCUAAUACCGGAUAAUAUAUUGAACCGCAUGGUUCAAUAGUGAAAGACGGUUUUGCUGUCACUUAUAGAUGGAUCCGCGCCGCAUUAGCUAGUUGGUGAGGUAACGGCUUACCAAGGCAACGAUGCGUAGCCGACCUGAGAGGGUGAUCGGCCACACUGGAACUGAGACACGGUCCAGACUCCUACGGGAGGCAGCAGUAGGGAAUCUUCCGCAAUGGGCGAAAGCCUGACGGAGCAACGCCGCGUGAGUGAUGAAGGUCUUCGGAUCGUAAAACUCUGUUAUUAGGGAAGAACAAAUGUGUAAGUAACUAUGCACGUCUUGACGGUACCUAAUCAGAAAGCCACGGCUAACUACGUG